GCCAGGCGUGGUAGUGCAUGCCUGUAGUCCCAGCUACUCAGGAGGCCAAGGCAGGAGGAUUGCUUGAGCCCAGGAGGUCAAGGCUGCAGUGAGCCGUGAUUGUGCUGCUGCACUUCAGCCUGGGCAAGACAGUGAGACCCUGUCUUAA
rfam:Nomascus leucogenys chromosome X, whole genome shotgun sequence.